rnacentral:ncRNA from 1 species
AGAUAGAGGCGCGGUAAAGAAAAGUACCUUCUGACAGGCUGCCAGACCGUUUAUGCAGGAGGAAAAGGCAAUACCGCCGAAGGAUGAUGUCCGGCAGGCUGAUUCCUGAUUAUAUAUCGAAGAGGUAUAUAAUUGUCAUCAUACAUUUUAUGGUGGAGUGCUAUCGG